GGGGGGGGGUUAAUAAGUCCAUUCUUGAGGUAGGCUGAAUUCAGGGUUAGUUGGGGUGGGUUGAGAUCUGAUGGCUCGCUGCUGCUUAGUAUUCGCAACGACAGAGCUCCUGCUCUGUUGAUAUCGCGGAUCGACGGUUCGAUAAGCAUCUGCAAAUACAAGUUUGGAAAAAAUUAAAAUCACAGGCAUUCUAGAAUGAGUGAGAAAGAAUGGCACAUCAAAAGGAAGAGAGAGAAAUAUAUGGAACGGAUUGCGAUGGAAAGAAGACAAGGUCCCAUGAAUGAAGGAACCCGUGCCACAAGAGAGAGAAAAGGCACAGAGAGAUGAACCGAGUGAGCCGAAGAGGGAGAAGGAGACAAACGUCCAGAAGAGUUGAAGACUGAUACAACAAAAGGAUAGAUAGAACAAAGCAGCAAAAGCACAAAAGGGUAGAGAUAUAGCCAAAUUGUGACAAGUAAAAUGAACCACAAAAGUAGAAAGAGAGUGCGCUACCACUCUGGAAACAUGGUUGAGAAGGACCCAUGUCAUCAAGGUUGAGAUUCAGAGCCUGCACAACUCUGGCAGGAAGGAGAACAGUCGAACACGCUGCACAAAAACCAUUAAACAAACAGAGUUCAAAUUGUUGAAGGAAACUGACAACCAAAGCCAGAAACCACUCUCUCCAAAACCCCCCCUUCAUGUACAAACCAGAUAAAGAAUCGACUGAAACUAAAGGAGAACCACUGAGAAAACACACCAG
rnacentral:lncRNA from 1 species